CCCUAUUCCUCUCACAGCAAGCCUACACCCAAGAGCCAGAAAACGAAACAAACAGUCGUAUAUGUGGAAAUCGAAACUUAGACUACGUCCUAUACUAGCAUACUACCCUACUGAAUAGUGUGUCUGGUAUAUACUUGAUUUCACCACUGUGCUAGAUUGGUAUACUAUUUAGAACGCUAGGCUAGUUGUUUGGUUGUUGUACUUUUGCCCAGCUUUGGCGUCAGAGCUUUCUGUUCCUGUGGAUCACAGGACACGGACGCUGUCGUGCGCUUCAUCAGAUUUGAAGACUUGUAAAACCAGUUCUUGGUAUUUGAGACUGAAAGCCAUGACAGGAUAAUACAACAGGACAACGAAACCUUUCGCGCAGCUAUGGCAGUUCAUUCAGUGCGCGUGGAUUUUAUUUUUUAUUGAUUUAUUUUAAUCGUAUAGUCGCUUUUCGGGGCAACAAUUUGAUUUAUUUGGUUUUGGAGAUGCAGUGCCCGGAAUGUGGGUUCGCUCUGAAGGAGUCUUUCCGCUUUUGCCCCGAGUGCGGAUACAGAUUGAGCACGCAGCCAAGUAGCACUACAGGUGGAAAGUCCCCAGAACAACAGGCCCAUCAAGGAAAAGAGGCAAAACGAAACCAGGCAGAUCCAGACAUUGAUACCAAUUCAUCCUCAGGGCAUUGCAUUGAGUUUCCAGGAGCUAGAGUGAGAGAAAAGGAAAUUUCAAAUCCAGGUCUCGGUUCAUCACAGACUGACACAAAUCAAGAUAAAGAUGAUUAUACCUCUGAGAGAACGCACAAUGAAAUCUCUACUAUCAAAGAAGAUGUACCACAAGAUGGCGCCAGUUUGUCUUCUGAAAAAGCAACUGAAGUUAAAGUUAGGCUGUCUGUUGAUACAGCUUCCCAAAACACACAGACAUCACCCCAUGUCAGGGAUAGAAUGUCUUCCCAGUCUCAUCAAACAUCCUCUUCAGAUCUUCCAAGCCAGUGCUCUAGCCAGUCAUUUCCAGCACCACCUGGAAUAAGGUCCUCUUCAUCUGAAGCAUCCAGCCAGAGUAAUGUGGGGCCGGACUCUGGCAAGUGUCAACUCACUGAAGAACAUAUUGAGAUGGAAGUGAACAGUAUCUCUUCUGAGCCUGAUCCUGCGAACAAUCUCAAGACAGAGUCUUCAACAAAUGAUUUUUCUGUACAGUGUGCCCUGUCAGACUCUACAACUCAAUCACAGAUAAAGGACCAAAAUGAACACAAGUUACCACCUAAUGCAAAUGAAGCAACAAAAGUGGUGUUGAUCAGUCCAACACAGUCUUCCACAGCUGGCAUAUUGCCUCCUUUAGGUGAUUGGACCACUAAAGAACCAGAUACAAGUUCUCAUGGGGACAUUGCGAAAGCACAGACAGAAAACUUGAAUCAGCAAUCUUCAGUUCCUCUGCAGCCUUCAAACAGCCAUACUACUGAAGUCACAAAAGAGGAAACGCACACAUUGCAAUGUACCACUGGACAGGGUGAAAAACAACAAAAGCCCUUGAACAGGAAAUAUUUGGGCCACAUAAUAAUGAGGAAGGAAUUGCUGCAAAACCCAAAGCAGACAAUGUUGGCAACAAACAGCAAACUAAACAUGAAGAUGACACAGCACAAAACAAAGAAACAAAUGCCCUUCAGAAGAAAAGGAACAUAGACACCCCUAAACAAGGCUUUAACACUGAGAAGCCUUUACCUCAGCUGGAAAGUGUCCCUUCAAACCAAAACCAUGAAGUGGGUUUUCAAGAAGUGUCAUCAAAGAAGAAAAAGGACAACCAGAACUACACAUCAAACCAACAACAGGAUCCCAAAGACAUCACCAUUUUCUUUCAUGCCAUCUUAUCCAAAGACUUUAACAUAGACCCAUCAAAAGACACUGUUACUAUAAGAUCAGUUGGUUUAGCAGGGAAUUGGAAUCAGGAUAUUUUGGAAAUGGAAGUCACAAGAAACCUAGGACAUGACGGUUUUCUUGUGCAAGGAAAACUUGAAACCAGUAGAAAGAAUGUUAAGAAGUAUAUUCCUUAUAAAUAUGUUGUUCACAAGCAAGACAAAUCACAUGAAUAUGAAUAUAUCUACAAAGACAAUGCAAGGGGCAUUGUUAAUCGCUGUCUGAUAAUCAGAGAAAAUUUACUUACACAACAAGGGGAAUGGCACCAGUAUGAUGAUAUAAUAUGUGCAAAGCCUUCACAUGGUAGGGUUGAAAGGAUAAUAAACUGGUUGGUGAGCAUGAAGCCUGAUUUAUUGAGAGGAAGAUCUAUAGCAGGACAGAUCAUGUUGGAAACAAUCAGUGAUAUCCUUGGUGAAUGGAGUAAGCUAAAUGUGAGAAACUUCUUUGUCCAGCUCCAACAGUUCUUCAAAACUUAUUCACAUCCCCAUGUAUAUGAAGAACAGGCAAAUCCAUGGCACUCUUUGGAGUAUGGUGAAAGUCAGGUGAAAGAACUUCUCACACAUUUCAUGCUGACCAAGAUUGCUUCUGUUCAAGCAAACAGAAAUUUAUCAAUUCAAGAUCAGCAAAGGGCAGUGGCCAUCUUUCUGCUGGUUUAUCUAAAAUAUAAUCUACCCAUAGAUCAGAAAUCAGCUUAUGAAAUUGGCUGGCUACUUUGUCUUCCCACACUGUCAAAGAAAGAAUUCAGUUCCUACUGGGAUGCGUUUUUACAGCCUCUUCAAGAAGAAUGGUAUGACUUUGGUCUCAAUGGGUAGUUAGUCUAGUUAAUGUGCUUUAUAUUAGUAAUAGUUAAUAUGCUAUAUACACACACUGACUAUUUUAAUAAGAACAUCUGUACCCUUCCUCAGUCAUGCAAUUAUUUAAUCAACCAAUCAUGUGGCAUCAAUACAUAGAAUCAAACAGAUACGGGUCAAGAGCGUCAGUUAAUGUUUACAUCAAACAUCAGAAUGCAGAAAAAUGAGAUUGCAGUGACUUUGACUGUAACAUGUAGGUUGGUGUUGGAUGGGCUGAUUUGUAUCUUUCAGAAAGGUGCGAGAAAAAACACAUUCAGUGAGUGACAAUUCUACAAGCCAAAAUGUGUUCUUGAUGAGAGAGUUCAGAGGAGAAUGAUCAGACAGGUCCCAGCAUACAGGGAGGCGACAGUAACUUAAAUAACCACUCUUUAUAACCAUGAUGAGCAGAUAAAAUAUUUCAGAAUGCACAGCAAGUCAAAACCUGAGGCAGUCAGGUUUAAAUAGGAGAAAACCACAUCAGUUUCCACUCAUAUGAACCAAGAGCAAGAAUGUUAAGAUACACUAGGUAAAGGCUCAUCAAAAUUGGACAGUUGAAGAUUGAAAAGACAUUACUUGGUCUUUUUUCAAUCUUCACCUGUCUAGUUUCAGUGUGCUGUGUUCUUGGCUUACAGGAGGUGAACUUGAUAUGGUCUUCUGCUGUUUUAGAACAUCUGUCUCAAGGUUUGAUGUGGAUAUUUGAGUUAUUGUAGCUUUCCUGUCAACUGGAACCAGUCUAGCCAUUCUCCUCUGACCUCUCAGACCGCUUCUCUGCUCAUACAACUGCCACUUCAAUUCAAUUCAAUUCAAUUCAAUUCAAUUCAAUUCAAUUCAAUUCAAUUUUAUUUGUAUAGCGAUUUUUACAAUAGACAUUGUCUCAAAGCAGCUUUACAGAAAUAUAUAAACACGGUAUACAGAUAUUAAAAGUGCGAAUUUAUCCCAAUUGAGCAAGCCGGUGGCGACGGUGGCAAGGAAAAACUCCCUAAGAUGUUAAGAGGAAGAAACCUUGAGAGAAACCAGACUCAGGAGGGAACCCGUCCUCAUCUGGGUAAUCCACUUACUGGAUGUUUUGUUUUCUUUGUUUUUCAUUAUAGUUUGUAAACUGUAGAGACUGUUUCGUAUGAAAAUCCCAGAGGAUCAGUAGUUCAUGAAAUACCAGCCUGUCUGGCACCAACAACCAUAUCAAAGUCACUGCGAAGGUUUCUGCAUUCUAAUGUUGGAUGUGAACAUUAAUUGAAGCUCUUGAGCUGUAUCCACAUGAUUUUAUUCAUUGUGCUGUGGUCAUAUGGUUAACUGAAUGAGCAGGUAAACAGGCAUUUAAAUUGGCUGGUGAGUGUAUAUACAGUGGAUAUAAAAAAAAGAUUUAAAAA
ensembl:lncRNA